CCUACGGGUGGCAGCAGUGAGGAAUAUUGGUCAAUGGACGAGAGUCUGAACCAGCCAAGUAGCGUGAAGGAUGACUGCCCUAUGGGUUGUAAACUUCUUUUAUAUGGGAAUAAAAUGUUCCACGUGUGGGAUUUUGUAUGUACCAUAUGAAUAAGGAUCGGCUAACUCCGUGCCAGCAGCCGAGGUACUACGGGGGAUCCGAGCGUUAACCGGUUUUAUUGGGUUUAAAGGGAGCGUAGGUGGAUUGGUAAGUCAGUUGUGGAAGUUUGCGGCUCAACCGGAAAAUUGCAGUUGAAACUGGCAGUCUAUAGUACAGGAGAGGUCGGCGGAAUUCGAGGUGUAGCGGUGAAAUGCUUAGAUAUCACGAAGAACUCCGAUUGCGAAGGCAGUUCACUGGACUGCAACUGACACUGAGGCUCGAAAGUGUGGGUAUCAAACAGGAUUAGAUACCCCAGUAGUC
rnacentral:rRNA from 1 species